CCUAUCAUGCAGUCGAGCGGACAGAAGGGAGCUUGCUCCCGGAUGUUAGCGGCGGACGGGUGAGUAACACGUGGGUAACCUGCCUGUAAGACUGGGAUAACUCCGGGAAACCGGAGCUAAUACCGGAUAGUUCCUUGAACCGCAUGGUUCAAGGAUGAAAGACGGUUUCGGCUGUCACUUACAGAUGGACCCGCGGCGCAUUAGCUAGUUGGUGAGGUAACGGCUCACCAAGGCGACGAUGCGUAGCCGACCUGAGAGGGUGAUCGGCCACACUGGGACUGAGACACGGCCCAGACUCCUACGGGAGGCAGCAGUAGGGAAUCUUCCGCAAUGGACGAAAGUCUGACGGAGCAACGCCGCGUGAGUGAUGAAGGUUUUCGGAUCGUAAAGCUCUGUUGUUAGGGAAGAACAAGUGCAAGAGUAACUGCUUGCACCUUGACGGUACCUAACCAGAAAGCCACGGCUAACUACGUGCCAGCAGCCGCGGUAAUACGUAGGUGGCAAGCGUUGUCCGGAAUUAUUGGGCGUAAAGGGCUCGCAGGCGGUUUCUUAAGUCUGAUGUGAAAGCCCCCGGCUCAACCGGGGAGGGUCAUUGGAAACUGGGAAACUUGAGUGCAGAAGAGGAGAGUGGAAUUCCACGU
rnacentral:rRNA from 1 species